rnacentral:rRNA from 1 species
AUACGUAGGGUGCGAGCGUUGUCCGGAAUGAUUGGGCGUAAAGGGCGCGUAGGCGGCCGCUUAAGUCUGGAGUGAAAGUCCUGUUUUCAAGAUGGGAAUUGCUUUGGAUACUGGGGGGCUUGAGUGCAGGAGAGGUUAUCGGAAUUCCCGGUGUAGCGGUGAAAUGCGUAGAGAUCGGGAGGAACACCAGUGGCGAAGGCGGGUAACUGGACUGCAACUGACGCUGAGGCGCGAAAGUGUGGGGAGCAAACAGGAUUAGAUACCCUGGUAGUCCACACUGUAAACGAUGAAUGCUAGGUGCAAGAGGUAUCGACCCCUUUUGUGCCGGAGUCAACACAAUAAGCAUUCCGCCUGGGGAGUACGGCCGCAAGGUUGAAACUCAAAUGAAUUGGCGGGG